AGACGUAGGGCGCGAGCGUUGUCCGGAUUUAUUGGGCGUAAAGAGCUCGUAGGCGGCUUGUCGCGUCGACUGUGAAAACCCGCAGCUCAACUGCGGGCCUGCAGUCGAUACGGGCAGGCUAGAGUUCGGUAGGGGAGACUGGAAUUCCUGGUGUAGCGGUGAAAUGCGCAGAUAUCAGGAGGAACACCGGUGGCGAAGGCGGGUCUCUGGGCCGAUACUGACGCUGAGGAGCGAAAGCGUGGGGAGCGAACAGGAUUAGAUACCCUGGUAGUCCACGCUGUAAACGUUGGGCGCUAGGUGUGGGGGGCCUCUCCGGUUCCCUGUGCCGCAGCUAACGCAUUAAGCGCCCCGCCUGGGGAGUACGGCCGCAAGGCUAAA
rnacentral:rRNA from 1 species